rnacentral:tRNA from 1 species
GAUGUAGCUCAGUGGUAGAGUGCUUGAGAGGCCCUAGGUUCAAUCCCUAGCAUGGUCA